CAGCAGCCGCGGUAAUACAGAGGGUGCAAGCGUUAAUCGGAAUUACUGGGCGUAAAGGGCGCGUAGGUGGUUUGGUAAGUUGGAUGUGAAAUCCCCGGGCUCAACCUGGGAAUUGCAUUCAAUACUGCUUGACUAGAGUAUGGUAGAGGGAAGCGGAAUUCCACAUGUAGCGGUGAAAUGCGUAGAUAUGUGGAGGAACAUCAAUGGCGAAGGCAGCUUCCUGGACCAAUACUGACACUGAGGCGCGAAAGCGUGGGUAGCAAACAGGAUUAGAUACCCUGGUAGUCCACGCCCUAAACGAUGAGAACUAGAUGUUGGGAAGUAUAUCUUCUUAGUGUCGCAGCUAACGCGUUAAGUUCUCCGCCUGGGGAGUACGGCCGCAAGGUUGAAACUCAAAGGAAUUGAC
rnacentral:rRNA from 1 species